GCCUCGGUGGCACACUCCCCCUCCAAUGGAAAAUCCUCCAGCUUGUCACGUGACCUUUUUUUGGGGGGGCUCUUUGGCCACUGUCAACUUUUUUUCACUCACGUCCUGUUCAGCGGAAACAUAAAGGAGUGCGGCGUCGGUGCGACUGUUGGGGGGGAUGCCGCAGCGUUGCUCUUGCAGGAGGGGAAAACGUCCCACUCACUGAUGUACCCACUGGUUCGCAGGGUCUGACGCAAGACAGAGAAGUCUCAAAGAGGUCUGAUGGAAUCUGAACCUCACUGGAAAGAAAGAACAACCCGCAGUCUGCCGCCCCACUGCUGAGUCCUUUUAGAAGGGGGACAUGGACGCCGUGGAGAGCCCCGCGGGCCUGGAGCCCAGGUCGGAGCGGAUCGCCCGCUACAAGGCCGAGAGGAGGCGCGAGCUGGCCGAGCGUUACGGCAACACGGAGGAGCUGCCCUCCAAGUGGGUGAGGAGGGACGGGAGUGGGGAGGCGCCCGACCCGGGGGCCCACAGGGGGACGGCGAACUCGGACGGGCCGGGGGUCAACGGCAGGACGCGGGGGGUUUCGAACGGAUUGGAGGCGGAGUCCAACAACCUGGGAAGCUGCCCCGAUGGCGGGCGGGCCACGUCCUCUCUGGACCUGGCCGUGAACCCGGGCCCUGAGGGGGGGCGGCGACGCACCCGCCGCUACCUCCCCGGCGGGCCCGGUGUCGGGCGCAAGACCAGCGAGCGCUUCAGGACGCAGCCGAUCACAGCCAAUGAGAUGGAGGAGAGCAGCGGGUAUGGGAGGGAGGGGGGGGUCUGUUUGCUGUGGGCUGCAGAUGAGGGCGCCUGGUUUUUUGUUUAACUAAGAAUGAUGCUGUUUGCUGUGACUUUUUUAUUGCAGUGUGUGUGAAAAAAUAAGCAUCAUCUGGAAAACCAAACAAAUUAUGCUCAUGUCAUAACUUAUUACUUGCGAGUCUCUGGUCUAUCGGGGAGCACAAGUGUUUGUUGUCUGUGGUUUCGACUUUACAUAAAGGUGCGGGCGACAUUUGCAUGUUUUUUUGUUUCUUUUCCUCCUUCAUGACAUUCCACACUGUUGCUUUACCCAGAAUGCAAAUGUGCAAACAGCGUCUUGAUUGUUUGAGACGUGCAUUGUUGAGCUCAGAGCAGAAUCUGACAGAAGAGUUCUUCAGCAACUCCCGCUUCAUAUUUCACCAGGUGACCUCAUCCUCUGCCUUUUUUUCUUCUUCUCCAUCUUCUAGGCUGUUGGACGCCGACCAGCAGGAGGAGGAGGAGGAGGAGGAGGAGGAGAAGCGUAAAGGUAAAGCCGCCUAUUGUGUUUUAGGCACAAACAAGCUCUUUGUCAGACUUUUUGUUUUGCUGGUGCACACAGGCCUGGUGACCUUUGACACGGAGAGGGCAGAAGGUCACCGCAGCACAAUAGGUCAAGACAGCGAUGUAAACACUGUGAGAAAAAAUAUGGCAGGAGGAGAAAAGUGACAUCUCAUACUGAAUGUGACGUAUAAAGGCUUCACAUAUUGUGAACAAAACAAUAUUUGGAGUGUGCGUCCGACCUGCACAGUUGCCUCGAUAAACUCAUUCAACAGCUCACGAAGUAGAUCAGAUUGUAUCUUGAGGUCCACAAUGUUUGAUCUCGUCGGUGAUGACGGAUUUACGUCUCCACGAAGCCGUGUGAGCAGCGGAGCACGGCUUAGUCCUUUGCUCUCUUAACACCUCCAUGAAAAAAAAUCUUCACAAAGAUUGACUACGGAGAAUUUGCUCCACAGGCGCAGUACGCACAAACAUUAUGCAUUUGUAAAUCAGUUCUAUAUUGCUACUGGGAAUUAACGAUUAAAGAAUGUGUCCCAGUGAGUCGACGUGAAAAAGCAUGACGUCCUAAAAUAAUAUCCAUGCAUCUCAUUGUUAUUUGUGACGUGUGCAUGAUUAGAAGACCUCUUCAGACACGACAAGGGACCAGAGUUGACAUUCCUUUUUUUUUAAUAGGUGGUCAGAAUGGGAAAAAUAGAUAUUUUUUAGUGUGAAUCCUUAUUUGAAAACAAACUAGCAGUACAGUAGCUCUCAGAUAGAUGUAGUGGCAUAUAGAAGUGUGAAAUAGCAGAAAAUGGAAAGUGUGAUUACGUCCAAAUUGCACUGGAGUUCAGACCUUGAGUUAAUGUACUUAGUGACUUUCCACCGUUGACGACAGUCACCAGAAGCUUGUUCGAUUUCACAGACUGUUUAAUCUCCUGCACCUUUCUUUACUUCUAUCCGACAGCGCCUGAGGUGUCAGAGCAAUAUCAUGUGUGUUCAGCGAUCCGAAGCGUGCGACAUGAGGAUUUACGUCCUUUCUCUCUCCCGCAGCUGACGUGA
ensembl:lncRNA